CAGGUAGCUUCAGUAUCAUUGUAACUGAACAUAGACAGACAGUUAAGCUCAUGGGAGGCCAGAUGGUGAAUUGAAUGAAAGAGACAACAUUAAAUAUAAAAAAAGAAACAGGACCUUGAUAUAACCCAAAGCUGUCAGUUCAGCACCCAAGAGAUGCUCUGCUGCGGACCCUCCAGCUAGGUGCCAUUAGCCUUUUAAGUGUAUCUGGGGGGGGCAGAAGGUGUGAGGGACUCCAGCACAUUCGCACAAUCCCUGCUCACACUGCCUCCCACGCAUCGCUGGAGGAGGAAGACCCCCCAACACACCCCCCCUCCCCCCUCGCCAAUACUGCAGUGCCUGCAAGAGGGAGGGAGGCAGAGAGAGAGAGAGAGAGAGAGAGAGAGAGGGAGUACUGACGCUCUACAGGAAUCCCUGCUCUCUCUGCAGCCCCCCAGAUCACGGCGACCCACCCAUGUCUGAGACGCCCCUGUAGGCUGAUGUACACAAACAGCGCCACCCAGCUUCUCAUUAUUUAACUGAGAACAUGGAAACCCACCAGGAAAAAAAAGCGUAAUUUCAUUGAUCGAGAGAAAAAAGGAGGACAUGAAAUUUUACUGGCUAACCUGAGCAUGGUCUAAGGUGCAGAGGAGUACUAUAGAACUGCUAUUUUGUGUGUUUGUGCUGGAUCGAUAACAGCCUAGCCUGAGGAUGGAGGCUUACCGGAGCGCCAAGCAGGCUGCGAUAGGGCCUUCAAAUGGCAAACUCGGCUGGGUAGCCUCCCGCUGCGCCCGAUCUUUGAGCAAUGACCUUCUACACUAGAUGAGUAUGCCUGUGUGUGUAUGUGUGUGUGUGUGUGUGUGCGUGUGUGUUCGCGAUUGAGCCCUUUCUUGUGCACAUACAGUACAUUUCUGUGCGCAUAUUGUGUAUGACUGAUGUGUGUGCAUUUAUGAUUAUGCUUUUGCUGUUUGCUAUGCUUUUCAGUCUUCCCACAUUUUUGACAUAUUUCCAUGCCACCGUAAUUUGCACUUAUGUGGGCACAUAAAGAAUAAAUAUCUCCAUAAGGGGUACGAUUCCUGAAAAAACAAAAAUGUCUUUUUCUGCCUUUACUGCAUUCUCACCUGAACUCGUAACAGCAAAUGAUGUUGCCGUGACUGGGCUGAGAAAGGUGUGUGUGCAGUAUGUGUUUGUGUCUCCUUCAGGACCUCGGAGGUGCAGAGGGUACCAUUAUCUCCCCCUCUGCCCGCUGUACCGUGACUCAGACAUCGCCACUGUAUAAUGCCUCACAUGAAAACCUCAUGCUCCCCAUCAGGAUAAGGGCGUGUGACAGUGGACCCAGGAUGGCAGCCAGUAUCCCCCCGGCCAGUCUGGCCCACGCGCCUCUCAUCCCCGCAUGCGUCUGUAGCCCCGCCUUCCGAUCAGAACCUGCCCUUUCCCUUUCACAAUCGUCUAAUGUCAGGAAUGCUCUGCCGGACCUGCCUGAAUAAAACAUCCUGACAGCACCUGCGGUGUCCAGCACCAUGGAAACGUAAAGGUCCGGCAGAGGCUAGCCAUUGUUUGAAGGAGCCGGGGGUUGGGGGCCACGCGGAUUCGGAGCAGCGGUCCCAGACACGGCAGGGGAGCAUCCCAUAUGCAGACUCCCAACAAGGGCAGGAAACAAGAGCCAAAAUUUUUUUAAAAAAAAGCUGUUGGGGUUUAAAGUGUAGAAAUGUUGCUAUUUGAUGCCCAUUGUCUGUUCUUCGCGAUGCAGUGACUCCAUUACCGGAAGAAAGAGUUUCAUAAACGACCUUUGGAGGUAGAAUAGCACGCCAGUCUGUUUGAAGUUAGCGCCCCCCCCAGGGAGUACAUUAGCCCCGCUGUGAUAAGAGCGCAGCCGGCUGCUGGGGCCCUUUGCUUUGCUUACAGCGUGUCACCUGACCCCAGACAGGCCUCCAGCCUUCACAACACCUAAAUGUCAUGUUUCCCGUGUGUGACUGUCCUUCAGCCCACUCCCCGAGAGCAAAGUGGGCACCUCUGCCUGACAUAUAAGGGUUCCGUUUCAGCCAGGUGUGACAAAGGCCUCCGCAAACAGCACAGAACACACAGCCAUCUCUGUGCAUUGGCGUGAUGGUAUUGAAACUGCAACCGUACAUAGCAGUUAAUAAAAAUUGCUUGAUACUGCAGCAGUGAAGUGCACAGAUUUU